CAGCGCAGCCCUACUUCCGCUCGCAGCUGCUUGGCGCUUCCCGCGCACGACCUCUUCCGGCGCGGCGUGGGACGUACUUCCGGCGGAGCGGCAUUGGCGGACUGUGAUGGGUGGCGCGGGCCGCUGCUCGCGCGGAGGGCGGGCGCUGUGGUCUUGAGGCGCAGCGGCGCUGGACGAGAACAGCAUCCCAAAAGGGAGUCAACACAACAGAUAAGCAAACCCCUGUGAUCACUCACAAGGAGACAAACCAAAAUAAAGAGACAGAAGAAGACCACGGCCUUCCUCUCCACGACCACCAGAGAGCUUCAGACGACCCCCCCAGCAACUCACACAUGCGCGGGACGCACCGGGAGAUUACAACGCAGACUAUAAGGGGGGGGACUGUGUGUGAGGGAGGCGCGCGCCGUUGGCGGAGCUGAGACUCCCCGGCCGCCCAGCGCUGUUUUGCUUGUGGCUGCUUAAAUAAAUUGUUCACAUGAUUUAACAAA